UUUUCUAUGUUUGGGGCAGUAUCAUAGCCAAUGAGGUUAAUCCGAGGCGUGAUUAUUGCUAGUUGAAAACUUUUCCUCUUUUCCUGCUGAUUCCUUUCUAAGCUCCCUCUAGGGUUCUAAAUUAUGUACUGCAUUUACUCACUCCUGUACUACGCAAUCUGC
rnacentral:snRNA from 1 species